GUACAUACCAAGGCGUAGUGCAGCAGGGUCCCCUGUACCGAGGCCUUGCAGGCAGCGGCGGCAUAUCAAACAAUCUGAGAGUUAUGGUCAGGGGAAGGGGUACAGGAAGUACAAGUACAAAUUGCGUUGUCUUCUUCCCUGCUGGCCUGCCUGACUACUCUGCUACUUGACAGAAUCCAGUGCACCUCCUCCAGACACUCACCAAGCAGCUGGGGAGUGUCCUGCCACCUCGGCCAUCCUAGUCCAUCCUGUCAAUGUGAAACACCUGCUCAGGCUGUCAUGCAGCAGGACCAGCGCGCAGAGCGAGGUCUGGCCUAUCUGGAGCCGUGGGUUUGGCACUGAAGUUGGAGAGACCCUUACAACGGAAAGGCUGGGGUGGGGACUCAGGGGCUAACGGCCAGGGUUUGCCUUUCGGUGAUAAGAUAGGGAGGGAGGUGGGCUUAUUGCAAACAAUUGGGUUUUAUUUGCU
rnacentral:lncRNA from 1 species